UACGGAGGGUGCUAGCGUUGUUCGGAAUUACUGGGCGUAAAGCGUGCGUAGGUGGUGAGUUAAGUCUGUCGUGAAAGCCCCGGGCUCAACCUGGGAAUGGCGAUGGAUACUGGCUCGCUAGAGUGCGGUAGAGGAGAGUGGAAUUCCCGGUGUAGCAGUGAAAUGCGUAGAGAUCGGGAGGAACAUCAGUUGCGAAGGCAGCUCGCUGGGACGUAACUGACGCUGAGACGCGAAAGCGUGGGGAGCGAACAGG
rnacentral:rRNA from 1 species